AACGAACGCUGGCGGCAUGCCUAACACAUGCAAGUCGAACGAGACCUUCGGGUCUAGUGGCGCACGGGUGAGUAACGCGUGGGAACCUGCCCUUAGGUUCGGAAUAACUCCCCGAAAGGGGUGCUAAUACCGGAUAAUGUCUUCGGACCAAAGAUUUAUCGCCUUUGGAUGGGCCCGCGUUGGAUUAGCUAGUUGGUAGGGUAAAAGCCUACCAAGGCGACGAUCCAUAGCUGGUCUGAGAGGAUGAUCAGCCACACUGGGACUGAGACACGGCCCAGACUCCUACGGGAGGCAGCAGUGGGGAAUAUUGGACAAGGGGCGAAAGCCUGAUCCAGCAAUGCCGCGUGAGUGAUGAAGGCCUUAGGGUUGUAAAGCUCUUUUACCCGGGAUGAUAAUGACAGUACCGGGAGAAUAAGCUCCGGCUAACUCCGUG
rnacentral:rRNA from 1 species